UACAGAGGGGGCAAGCGUUAUUCGGAAUUAUUGGGCGUAAAGGGCGCGUAGGCGGCUUGGCAAGUGGAUGGUGAAAUCCCUCGGCUUAACCGAGGAACUGCCGUCCAAACUGCUUCGCUUGAGACCGGGAGAGGUGAGUGGAAUUCCCAGUGUAGCGGUGAAAUGCGUAGAUAUUGGGGAGGAACACCAGUGGCGAAGGCGGCUCACUGGACCGGUACUGACGCUGAGGCACGAAAGCGUGGGGAGCAAACAGG
rnacentral:rRNA from 1 species